rnacentral:rRNA from 1 species
UACGAGGGGGGCAAGCGUUGUUCGGAAUUAUUGGGCGUAAAGGGUGCGUAGGCGGUUUGGUAAGUCUUAUGUGAAAUCUACAGGCUCAACUUGUAGUCUGCAUGAGAAACUGCCGGGCUUGAGUAUGGGAGAGGUGAGUGGAAUUCCUGGUGUAGCGGUGAAAUGCGUAGAUAUCAGGAGGAACACCCAUGGCGAAGGCAGCAAACUGGGCAUCAUCUGACGCUGAGGCGCGAAAGCGUGGGUAGCAAACAGG